rnacentral:rRNA from 1 species
AACGAACGCUGGCGGCAUGCCUAACACAUGCAAGUCGAACGAGACCUUCGGGUCUAGUGGCGCACGGGUGCGUAACGCGUGGGAACCUGCCCUUAGGUUCGGAAUAACUCCCCGAAAGGGGUGCUAAUACCGGAUAAUGUCUUCGGACCAAAGAUUUAUCGCCUUUGGAUGGGCCCGCGUUGGAUUAGCUAGUUGGUAGGGUAAAAGCCUACCAAGGCGACGAUCCAUAGCUGGUCUGAGAGGAUGAUCAGCCACACUGGGACUGAGACACGGCCCAGACUCAAAGGGGAGGAGGAGGGGGGAAAUAGGGAAAAAGGGCAAAAGGCCGAACAAAAAAAUGCCGGGUGAGGGAAAAAGGCGUUGGGGUUGAAAAGCUUUUUUCCCGGGGAGAAAAAGAAAAGUCCGGGAAAAAAAAGCCCCGAAAAACUCGGGC